rnacentral:tRNA from 1 species
GUGGGUAUAGCUCAGCGAUAGAGCACCUGCUUAUCUUGCAUGAGGUCCUGGGUUCAAUCCCCAGUACUUCCA